rnacentral:misc_RNA from 1 species
AUAUAACCACCAGUUGAGCC